CAAGUGUCAAGGAAUGCACCUCAUUCUUUUGACACUUGAAUACCAACGUUCAAGAUGCUGAUCGAAUAUUGGAUUCCUGCUGCUUAGCAAGUUUGAAUUUGUCCCAUUCAGGGGCAAGACAAUUGUUGUAGUUGGAAGGUGCAUGUAAUGUAAUGUUAUUGUUGACAUACAUGUCGUUUAUGUAAUGUAACGAAACCUUAAUUAUACUUUUUAUUCGAAUUCACGCUGUCGCAAUUUUUAUUCGAAUUCACGCUG
rnacentral:lncRNA from 1 species